rnacentral:rRNA from 1 species
UAACAAGGAUUCCCCUAGUAACUGCGAGUGAACCGGGAAGAGCUCAAAUUUAAAAUCUGGCGGUUUUGCCGUCCGAGUUGUAAUCUGGAGAAGCGUUUUCCGCGUCGGACCGUGUACAAGUCUCUUGGAAUAGAGCGUCAUAGAGGGUGAGAAUCCCGUCCAUGACACGGACUCCCGAUGCUAUGUGAUACGCUCUCAAAGAGUCGAGUUGUUUGGGAAUGCAGCUCAAAAUGGGUGGUAAAUUCCAUCUAAAGCUAAAUAUUGGCGAGAGACCGAUAGCGAACAAGUACCGUGAGGGAAAGAUGAAAAGCACUUUGGAAAGAGAGUUAAACAGUACGUGAAAUUGUUGAAAGGGAAACGCUUGAAGUCAGUCGCGUCGUACGGAGCUCAGCCUUGCUUCUGCUUGGUGUAUUCUCCGUGUCGACGGGUCAACGUCAAUUUUGAUCGGUGGAGAAGGGCCUGAGGAACGUGGCGUCGUUUCGGCGACGUGUUAUAGCCUUAGGUCGUAUGCAUCGAUUGGGAUUGAGGACCGCAGCACGCCCUUGUGGCCGGGGGUUCGCCCUACGUUCGUGCUUAGGAUGUUGGCAAAAUGGCUUUAAGCGACCCGUCUUGAAACACGGACCAAGGAGUCUAACAUGCCUGCGAGUGUUCGGGUGGAAAACCCUUGCGCGUAAUGAAAGUGAAAGUUGGGAUCCCUCGCAAGGGGGUGCACCGACGCCCGGCCCUGACGUUCUCUGACGGUGCUGCGGUAGAGCAUGUAUGUUGGGACCCGAAAGAUGGUGAACUAUGCCUGAAUAGGGUGAAGCCAGAGGAAACUCUGGUGGAGGCUCGUAGCGAUUCUGACGUGCAAAUCGAUCGUCAAAUUUGGG